rnacentral:lncRNA from 10 species
GGCUUUUUGUACAUUUUUGUGCUUAACUUACCACUGACUUCUUUUCAAGGUCACUGUGGAAUAUAGACCCAUAAUCGACAAAACUUUGAAUGAGGCUGACUGUGCCACUGUCCCCCCAGCCAUUCACUCCUACUGAUGAGACAAGAUGCGGUGAUGACAGAAUCAGCUUUUUGCACAGCCAGAGAACAACACAUCACACACAAGAAACAGUUGUGCUCAUGUGAUGGGGGCCUCAGCACUAGGAAGGAGUGGACUGUUGGCGCACGCAGCAGCUUGAAUAAAUCUGAAAGUCACUACGCUGCGUAAGAGAAGCCAAAUAAAGCGCAUGCUGUGUACAGAGGGUGUCGAGAAUGCCUCCUACGUGACGGAAAGCAGAUCCGUGGUUCCCUGCAGACUGGCAGGAGCAGAUUCCAAAGGCACAGGAAGAAGCUUGCAGGUAGAAUGUGUUCAUUACCUUCUGCGCAUUAUACCACAAAAAAGCUGGGAAUAAAAAUGCUAACCAAAAAAAAAGGUGAAAGUAGAUAAAAUUUCUCAACUGUGUGAUGGGUAAACGUGCAGGUUUGCUGUCAUGCUUUGUUUAUGAAGCUGUGGGGUACAAGGACUCUCAUAGUCACUGUGGAAUGCAGAACGUUGCAGCCUCAUGGAAGAGGAUUUGGCAGCAUCUAACAAAAUGACAUGGCAUUUGCCCUUAGACUCAGCAAUUCUAGAAUCUGCCUCAAAAAAAACUCUGGCAAAGAAAUGAAAGGACUUUACCCACAGAGUUCUUUUCACAGCCUGAAUGUGUUUGCCACAAAGUUCUUCACUGUGGCAUUUGUAAAACUGGAAACAAUCAAAAUGUCCAUCAGUAGGGGAUUGGGAACAUUAAUUCGUGCAGUGGGGAACUCCGUACCAGAAGGAGGAAUGAGGAACGCCUAUUGAUAAGGGGCAGAGUACAUAUCAUAUGAUGCAAAUAUAUAUUGCUUUUUCUUAAAACAGUACAAAGAUAAAAGUCUAAAGUGGUUGCUGUGGAGGAUAGGGGUCAGUGGUGGAAGUGAGACCGAAAUAGACUCUGAAGUAAUAUCUGGACUUUGAAAUUGCUCCAACCGUGAGACCAAAAUUUGGAAGGUGGCCCUGAGCAGCAGCUGAAGGGAAGUGGGAGGUGAGACAGGAAAGAGGCGGUGGCAUGCGGCGUCCGGGAGCUGGGUCCCAUGUGGGCAGCUGGGCCCGUGCUCACUGUGGGAGCUGGUGUGUUCCUUCACCAGCCCACACUCCACAGGUUUAGGAUGGUCAAUUCCGGGCACCCCUGGCCUGCUCCAGGACGUGCUCCUGCCACCAGAGAAAGCCCCUAGGCAGCGUCCCAGGUGCUGGUGGUGUCAGAAUCGAGUUUGAGUCUGAGGAGUGACCUGGGGCUGGCUGGGCUAGGCAGCAUCACGGGGUUCUGCAGCCCAACUGCACAUCAGGCUGGUGACAGUCACGCAGCCUAUUACCUCAUGUGUCAUCAGAGGAUCGCUAGAACACAGCACUUCAAGUGUGCAGAUUUAGUGAGCCAUAGUCUAAAGACAAAUAGAGCCACUGAAUCCUAAAUUUCAAUCAAUCAUCUCCAUUACUCGUCUUAUUGGUAUUAAUCCUUUGAAAUUAUGUGGGGUGGGAGUUAAAGCUAAUAACUAAUUAUGUUAAUGCUAAAACUAAGAUUUUUCUGGCAAGGGAAAAUCCUCCCAAGUCCCAGCACUUUGGGAGGCCGAGGUGGGCAGAUGACCUGAGGUCAGGAGUUUGAGACCAGCCUGGCCAACAUGGUGAAACGCCAUCUCUACUAAAAUUGAAAAAUUAGCUGGGCAUGGUGGCAGGUGCCUGUAAUCCCAGCUGUUGGGGAGGCUGAAGCAGGAGAAUCGCUUGAAACAGGAGGCAGAGAUUGCAGUGAGCCGAGAUUGUGCCACUGCACUCCAGCCUGGGCAACAGGAACAAAACUCUAUCUCAAAAAAUAAAACAAGAUUUUUCUGAGAAAAAGGUGUAAAACCGUAUACUAAAUUUGAAAUAGAAAUAUAAGCGUGAACUCAUUUGUUGUUCUUUUACCGUAUACACAUUUUCUACCUCUGCCCCAGUAGCAGUAGACACAUCAAGCA